CCUACGGGAGGCAGCAGUGGGGAAUUUUGUGCAAUGGGGGCAACCCUGACGCAGCAACGCCGCGUGGAGGAUGAAGGCCUUCGGGUUGUAAACUCCUGUUAGAGGGGAAGAAGCCCCGCAAGGGGUUGACGGUACCCUCAGAGGAAGCCCCGGCUAACUACGUGCCAGCAGCCGCGGUAAUACGGAGGGUGCGAGCGUUGUUCGGAAUUAUUGGGCGUAAAGCGCGUGUAGGCGGUUUGUUAAGUCUGAUGGAAAAGCCCCGGGCUCAACCGGGGAAGUGCAUUGGAUACUGGCAGACUUGAGUACGGGAGAGGAGAGUGGAAUUCCCAGUGUAGGAGUGAAAUCCGUAGAUAUUGGGAGGAACACCGGUGGCGAAGGCGGCUCUCUGGA
rnacentral:rRNA from 1 species